rnacentral:tRNA from 1 species
GCCUACUUAGCUCAGUUGGUAGAGCAUGCGGCUGUUAACCGCAGGGUCGUAGGUUCGAGUCCUACAGUGGGCGCCA